UAGAAAGUUUUGCCUGUUGGGGGAGCAAUACGGGAAAAGUGAGCCGAGGAGAGGACGCCGCAGAGAGGGCGAGCCUGCCGGUCGCGGCGGCAGGCGGGGGAGCCGAGCGGGGACCUGCGCGGAACCCCCGGGAGUAGCGGCUUUGCGGGCCGUGAUGCGUUUGCUGCGGGCUGCGGACACCUCGUCUCCGGGCCGUUCUCCCCCUUUGGGAUGUAUCCUGGACUUCUCGGGCCGCGAGAACUUGUUGACAAGUGAAAGCUUAGUAGAACCUCGGCUCUAUUUGUCUUUGUUUGUUUUUUACAAAGUGACUUCAUAUUUACUCUG